GGGUGUGGAGAAGCCCGAGGGAGCGGCCGGGUGGGGUACGCGGAUCACGGCCAACUAGGAUAAAAGGUCUUGCGGCCUCCCAAGUGGAGCCGGAAGCUCGACCGGAGAAGAAUCUUGUUUUCCCACAUUCUCAAAAGCAUCCCUGUGUUGGUUCAGAUCCCUUCCUCCGGAGUGAAAGUUUAUUGACUGGGUAAGCUGAAGAGGCUCUCUAAAGAAUGGAAGAGUUGAAGGAAGGGAAGGAUAAUUGUUGAUGGGUGCAUUAGUGAGGGCUUAGUGUGUGGGUGAUGGGCUUUAUUCUGCCAAGUAUAACCUAAAAAGCCACAGAACACAGCCAGACCAUGUCGGUACAUCUCUAACGCCAGCACUCAGGAGGUGGAGGCAGGCAGAUCUCUUGAGUUCCAGGCUGGCAUGGUCUACAGAGCGAGUUCCAGGCCAACCAGGGCUGUACAGAGAAACCCUGUCUAGGGGAAGAAAGGAAGGAAGCAAGCAAGCAAACAACCUACAGAACACAUCUCAAAACUGUUGUAUUAAGAAACCAGCGACAAGGAAGGGUCUUGAGACUGUGGCUGACGGUAGAGUUCUUACUACCCUAGCAUUCAUGAAGGCCAAUCCUCGGGGCCACAAGAGGAAGGGAAAGGGGUGAGAUAUUAACCAGGAAUAUCUCCGUCCUCACAGUGUUAACUCUCCCACACCUCUCCGUAGCUCAGUCCUGGAAGAGCAAUGCUUAUGGGAUCAAAGCACACAGGUGGCUCCCAAGACUCUCAGAAGGCAAGCUCUGCAACAGGCCAAAGAACAUGACCUACCACCAUCCAUCCCUGGACUGAGAAGCAGAAGAGCAUGUUAAGGGCUGGAGAGACAGCUCAGCGGUUAGGAGCACUGAUUGCUCUUCCGGAGGUCCUGAGUUCAAAUCCCAGCAACCACAGGGUGGCUCACAAACAUCUGUAAUGAGAUCUGAUGCCCUCUUCUGGUGUGUCUGAAGACAGCUACAGUGUACUUACACACACACACACACACACACACACACACACACACACAUAUACACAUCGUUUUUUUAAAAACAAAACCUGUUAGGUCAGUGUUUUGUUGAUCAACCACAUGAACUGAUUGUGGAGGAAUGUACGUAAACUAGGGACUGCCAGCUUGGUGAAUCCAGAUCACAAAUGUCCACAGUGACAGACACUUACGACAUGCAGGGUAGGUGUGAAGGGGAUUGUAGGGAAGAAAGAGUCCAUGCCAAAGUGGAAUCUCAGCAUCGAACUGGGCUCUGAGCUAGGGAGGAGUGCCAGGUUCUUCCAACCUUGCAUCACAGCAGCUUAAUUAGUUCAGGCUAAUUGAACGCAAAAUGGGAAAUACUUGGUUGAGGUGGCUCGUUCCCAGGUGCAGGUUGCAAACAGCACCUGUUAACAGGUUUAGUAGGCCUUGCAACCUGCCUACUUCACUCCUCCCUCGGGACCCUCCUACCUUCAGGAACUCAUUCUCUUGCAACCUAUAUCCAUUGUGUCCAAAAACAAACAUAUAAACCUACUUCAAAGCUGGGCACAGUGACAGAUUCUUGUAAUCCCAGAAUUUAAGACAUGGCCACAAGAGAGCAAGGUCACCCUCAGCUAUAUAAGUGAAUGCGUGAUCAACCUGGCUUACAUGAGACCAUUUCAACUAAUUGUAAAUCUAACUAAACAUUAUGGUGUUUAUUGUGGCCUCAUCCCCAUGGCCUCUGCUUCUGUUCCUGCCCCCGGAUUCCUGUCUUGAGUCCCUGCAUUGGCUUGCCUCUAUGACAAAUAACUCUGUAAGACAAAUAAACCAUCUCCUCUCCAA